GAGGGUAUAGCUCAGUGGUAGAGUGCUUGUUUACCAUGCACAAAUUGCUGGGUUCAAGCCCCAGUACCUCCA
rnacentral:tRNA from 1 species